GACGAACGCUGGCGGCGUGCCUAAUACAUGCAAGUAGAACGCUGAAGGAGGAGCUUGCUUCUCUGGAUGAGUUGCGAACGUGUGAGUAACGCGUAGGUAACCUGCCUGGUAGCGGGGGAUAACUAUUGGAAACGAUAGCUAAUACCGCAUAAGAGUAGAUGUUGCAUGACAUUUGCUUAAAAGGUGCAAUUGCAUCACUACCAGAUGGACCUGCGUUGUAUUAGCUAGUUGGUGGGGUAACGGCUCACCAAGGCGACGAUACAUAGCCGACCUGAGAGGGGGAUCGGCCACACUGGGACUGAGACACGGCCCAGACUCCUACGGGAGGCAGCAGUAGGGAAUCUUCGGCAAUGGACGGAAGUCUGACCGAGCAACGCCGCGUGAGUGAAGAAGGUUUUCGGAUCGUAAAGCUCUGUUGUAAGAGAAGAACGAGUGUGAGAGUGGAAAGUUCACACUGUGACGGUAGCUUACCAGAAAGGGACGGCUAACUACGUG
rnacentral:rRNA from 1 species